UCAUUGUGAAUGCCUGAUUAUCCCUUAAUGAUCCUGUUCUUGUCCUUUUCAUAUUUUGCACUUUUCGAAUAAGGUAUACAAUUUAAAUUGGUGAAUGUAAUCCUUUCCAUCCUAACCAAAAUACAAGUUCUCCGUAUGCUUAAAACAUCCUAGAGAUAUUAAUGUGUAUAUUUUUGCGUUUUGAAUGAAAUUUGAAACAGGAAUGGCAAAGAAAACCGAUAAAAAGAAGGGCCGUUCAGCCAUUAACCAAGUGGUCACAAGGGAAUAUACGAUUCAUCUACACAAACGAAUUCAUGGAAUG